rnacentral:ncRNA from 1 species
UAUUUGGCUAUGAAGAGAAGAGUAAAUCCAAUUUAUUUCACAGAGAGCUUCGGCAGCUGCAAAGAAGUAAUUAAGUUGGUUUGAAGAUGAUCUCCGAGCCUUGAUGUGCUGGUCAAUUGGCUAGAAAUCCGUUAGCAAACGUUAUAUUGCCACAGUAUUACUGCAGCUUUGGUGUACUGUUUGAGGUUUAAAUUAUGAAAUUUAAACAAAAUUGGGUGGUAACACGACAAAACGUCCCAACA